UCGGGGGAGUUGGGAGUAAUCAACUCUCAUUUCUCCACCCACUUCCAGACCCCAGAGGAGACAGACAUUGAUGGCUGCUGAGAGCGGAGCCUUUAAUGAAAGAUUAGUUGCAGGCCUGGACUGCUACUCUUGCGCCCUUGGUGUGUAUUGAAGGAGGUGGGCAAUGGUGAGAAUGUGGACAGGGAUAAGUGGGGUGAGGUGAAAGCAGGUGAAGGGGCGGGCCCGGCAGGGGGAGGGGAAGGGCGCUGCCCACUGGGCUGUCUGCUCAACUGUUCUCCCAGAAGAAGUUGUUACAGGCCACUGUGAGAGCAGCCACCAGCACCACAUACUCCUGGAAGUCCACCUCCCCGUCUCCAUUCUCAUCGAGCUCCUUCAUCACCUUGUCCACAGCAUCUGCAUCCUUCUGGGCCUGUGGAGGAAGAAGAGGGAGAGGAGGUGUGCAUCACUGAGUCGGGGCAGGAGGUGGUCGAGGAGAGCAAGGCAGACGUGAGCAAGAGGUCAGACAGCCUCUAAUCAUGGGACCUUCUGCUUUCCACCCAAGAAGGCUCAUGGGCUCCUGUUGCCUUCAGAAGAAACGCCUUAACUGGAAGAGUUAAUGAUAACGUCAAUCACCAUAAGCUAAUUGUCUACAGUGUGACAAGCACUACACUAGGAGCCUUCCAGGCACUGUCUAGUUUAAUUCUAAUACAAGCAGUAUGGGGCUCUUUUUAUUAAUUCCAUUCUGAAGAAGAAACAUGGAUGAUUUUUGUUAAGUAAAUGUGCCCAAAGUCACACAAAAAGCGGCAGGGCUGACAUUAGGUGUGGUGAUGCACACCUGUCAUCCCAGCAGCUCAGGAGACUGAGGAUCCCAAGUUUGAGGCCAGCCUCAGCAAUUUAACAAGGCCCCUAUACAACUUAGUGAGACCCUGUCUCAAAAAGUAAAAAGGGGGGCUGGGGAUGUGGCUCAAGCGGUAGCGCGCUCGCCUGGCAUGCGUGCGGCCCGGGUUCCAUCCUCAGCACCACAUACAAAGAUGUUGUGUCCGCCGAUAACUGAAAAAUAAAUAUUAAAAUUCUCUCUUUAAAAAAAAAAAAAGUAAAACGGGCUGGGGAUGUGGCUCAGUGAUUGAAUGCUCCUGAGUUCAAUCCUCAGUACCAAAAAGAAAAAGAAAAAAGGUGGCAGGGCUGGUCUUAGUGACACAUGCCCAUAAUCCCAGUGACUCAGGAGGCUGAGGCACGAGGAUCCCAAGUUUGAGGCCAGCCUCAGCAGCUUAGUGAGACCCUGUCCUAAAAAAUAAAAAGGGCUGGGAGCGUUAACUCAGUGAUAAAGCACCGUUGGGUUCAAUGCCCAAUACUGACGCGGGGGAAGAAAAAGGAAGUAGUAGGACCAAAAUUUGAAUGCAGAGCUGCCCGGUCUGCCAUAUCUGAGUGGCUUCUUCACUGUGUGCCCCCUGUUAACGUUUGCAGCCUGCUUCUCCACACUCUCCAGUCAAAUGGAACUGCUGGGCGUGCUCCACAUUGUCUUCUAUGCUUGUGUUCAUGCAGACACCCCCUAAAAUGUCUUCAUUGACCCCAGUCAUCUUCCAGUGGAAGCCCCUGGCUCAACUGCCACUCUUCAAGGAACCGUCUUACUUCAGUCUGGCCACUAAUCUCCCACUAACCCUUUCUGGCACCUUUGUUAAGGCUCUGUGUACUUCCUGGAGUUCGGGGUUUCCC
rnacentral:lncRNA from 1 species